rnacentral:rRNA from 1 species
GGNAGCGAUACCCGCCGGCGACCGGCGCACGGGGGAGUAACGCGUAUGCAACUUGCCUAUCAGAGGGGGAUAACCCGGCGAAAGUCGGACUAAUACCGCAUGAAGCAGGGGCCCCGCAUGGGGAUAUUUGCUAAAGAUUCAUCGCUGAUAGAUAGGCAUGCGUUCCAUUAGGCAGUUGGCGGGGUAACGGCCCACCAAACCGACGAUGGAUAGGGGUUCUGAGAGGAAGGUCCCCCACAUUGGUACUGAGACACGGACCAAACUCCUACGGGAGGCAGCAGUGAGGAAUAUUGGUCAAUGGCCGAGAGGCUGAACCAGCCAAGUCGCGUGAGGGAUGAAGGUUCUAUGGAUCGUAAACCUCUUUUAUAAGGGAAUAAAGUGCGGGACGUGUCCCGUUUUGUAUGUACCUUAUGAAUAAGGAUCGGCUAACUCCGUGCCAGCAGCCGCGGUAAUACGGAGGAUCCGAGCGUUAUCCGGAUUUAUUGGGUUUAAAGGGUGCGUAGGCGGCCUUUUAAGUCAGCGGUGAAAGUCUGUGGCUCAACCAUAGAAUUGCCGUUGAAACUGGGGGGCUUGAGUAUGUUUGAGGCAGGCGGAAUGCGUGGUGUAGCGGUGAAAUGCAUAGAUAUCACGCAGAACCCCGAUUGCGAAGGCAGCCUGCCAAGCCAUUACUGACGCUGAUGCACGAAAGCGUGGGGAUCAAACAGGAUUAGAUACCCUGGUAGUCCACGCAGUAAACGAUGAUCACUAGCUGUUUGCGAUACACUGUAAGCGGCACAGCGAAAGCGUUAAGUGAUCCACCUGGGGAGUACGCCGGCAACGGUGAAACUCAAAGGAAUUGACGGGGGCCCGCACAAGCGGAGGAACAUGUGGUUUAAUUCGAUGAUACGCGAGGAACCUUACCCGGGUUCGAACGCAUUCGGACCGAGGUGGAAACACCUUUUCUAGCAAUAGCCGUUUGCGAGGUGCUGCAUGGUUGUCGUCAGCUCGUGCCGUGAGGUGUCGGCUUAAGUGCCAUAACGAGCGCAACCCUUGCCACUAGUUACUAACAGGUAAAGCUGAGGACUCUGGUGGGACUGCCAGCGUAAGCUGCGAGGAAGGCGGGGAUGACGUCAAAUCAGCACGGCCCUUACAUCCGGGGCGACACACGUGUUACAAUGGCGUGGACAAAGGGAAGCCACCUGGCGACAGGGAGCGAAUCCCCAAACCACGUCUCAGUUCGGAUCGGAGUCUGCAACCCGACUCCGUGAAGCUGGAUUCGCUAGUAAUCGCGCAUCAGCCAUGGUGCGGUGAAUACGUUCCCGGGCCUUGUACACACCGCCCGUCAAGCCAUGGGAGCCGGGGGUACAUGAAGUCCGUAACCGAAAGGAUCGGCCUAGGGUA